GUACGGGAGGCAGCAGUGGGGAAUAUUGCGCAAUGGCCGAAAGGCUGACGCAGCGACGCCGCGUGGGGGAUGAAGCAUUUCGGUGUGUAAACCCCUGUUGCUCGGGACGAACAAGCGGCUUUGGCCGCUCUGACGGUACCGGGUGAGGAAGCACCGGCUAACUCCGUGCCAGCAGCCGCGGUAAUACGGAGGGUGCGAGCGUUGUCCGGAAUCACUGGGCGUAAAGGGCGCGUAGGCGGUCUGUUAAGCGUGCGGUGAAAGCCUGGGGCUCAACCCCAGGUCUGCCGUGCGAACUGGUGGACUAGAGCACUGUAGAGGCAGGUGGAAUUCCGGGUGUAGCGGUGGAAUGCGUAGAGAUCCGGAAGAACACCGGUGGCGAAGGCGGCCUGCUGGGCAGUAGCUGACGCUGAGGCGCGACAGCGUGGGGAGCAAACAGGAUUAGAUACCCGUGUAGUC
rnacentral:rRNA from 1 species